GACGAACGCUGGCGGAGUGCCUAAUACAUGCAAGUCGAACGCAGUGGGGACGGGUGAGUAACACGUGGGUAACCUCCCAUCAGAGGGGAUAACACUUGGAAACAGGUGCUAAACCGAUACUGAUGGAUGGACCCGCGGUGCAUUAGCUACGUGGUGAGGUAACGGGUCACCAAGGCAACGAUGCAUAGCCGACCGGAACGGGUGAUCGGCAGCACUGGAACUGGGACACGGCCCAGACUCCUGCGAGAGGCAGCAUGAGGGCAUCGUCGGCAAUGGACGAGAGUCUGACCGAGCAAAGCCACGGGAGGGAAGAGGGUUUGCGGAUCGUAAAACUAUGUUGUUAGAGAAUCGUUAUCUAACCAGAAAGCCACGGCUAACUAGGGGCCGGCCGCCGCGGUAAUUC
rnacentral:rRNA from 1 species